rnacentral:rRNA from 1 species
AAUUAUUGGGCGUAAAGGGCUCGUAGGCGGUUCGUCGCGUCCGGUGUGAAAGUCCAUCGCUUAACGGUGGAUCCGCGCCGGGUACGGGCGGGCUUGAGUGCGGUAGGGGAGACUGGAAUUCCCGGUGUAACGGUGGAAUGUGUAGAUAUCGGGAAGAACACCAAUGGCGAAGGCAGGUCUCUGGGCCGUCACUGACGCUGAGGAGCGAAAGCGUGGGGAGCGAACAGGAUUAGAUACCCUGGUAGUCCACGCCGUAAACGGUGGAUGCUGGAUGUGGGGACCAUUCCACGGUCUCCGUGCCGGAGCCAACGCGUUAAGCAUCCCGCCUGGGGAUACGGCCGCAAGGCUAAAACUGAAACAAUUGACGGGGGCCCGCACAAGCGGCGGAGCUGCGGAUUAAUUC